rnacentral:rRNA from 1 species
UAGGGAAUCUUCCGCAAUGGGCGAAAGCUUGACGGAGCAACGCCGCGUGAGUGAUGAAGGUCUUCGGAUCGUAAAACUCUGUUAUUAGGGAAGAACAAAUGUGUAAGUAACUAUGCACGUCUUGACGUUACCUAAUCAGAAAGCCACGGCUAACUACGUGCCAGCAGCCGCGGUAAUACGUAGGUGGCAAGCGUUAUCCGGAAUUAUUGGGCGUAAAGCGCGCGUAGGCGGUUUUUUAAGUCUGAUGUGAAAGCCCACGGCUCAACCGUGGAGGGUCAUUGGAAACUGGAAAACUUGAGUGCAGAAGGGGAAAGUGGAAUUCCAUGUGUAGCGGUGAAAUGCGCAGAGAUAUGGAGGAACACCAGUGGCGAAGGCGACUUUCUGGUCUGUAACUGACGCUGAUGUGCGAAAGCGUGGGGAUCAAACAGG